AGAGUUUGAUCCUGGCUCAGGACGAACGCUGGCGGCGUGCUUAACACAUGCAAGUCGAGCGGAAUCCAUCCCGUGGCAACACGGGUGAAGAUUCAGCGGCGAACGGGUGAGUAACACGUGAGGAACCUGCCCCGAAGACCGGGAUAACCCUCCGAAAGGAGAGCUAAUACCGGAUGCCCUCCCUUGGUCGCAUGGCCGAGAGAGGAAAUGGAUUCCGCUUCGGGAGGGCCUCGCGGCCUAUCAGCUUGUUGGUGAGGUAACGGCUCACCAAGGCGUCGACGGGUAGCUGGUCUGAGAGGACGAUCAGCCACACUGGGACUGAGACACGGCCCAGACUCCUACGGGAGGCAGCAGUGGGGAAUCUUGCGCAAUGGGCGAAAGCCUGACGCAGCAACGCCGCGUGGGGGAUGAAGGCUUUCGGGUUGUAAACCCCUUUCAGCAGGGACGAUUGUGACGGUACCUGCAGAAGAG
rnacentral:rRNA from 1 species